rnacentral:lncRNA from 1 species
GUAAAUGUUCACCAUCUCCCACUUCCAAGUGGGAAUUCCAAACUCCUGAAAUGUAAUACUAGGCCUUUGGUGCUCAAUUUUAACAUACUGACAAUUUGGACACUUAGCCACAAACUCCUCAAUAUCCUUCUUCAUACCACUCCACCAAUAAAUUUCCCGCAAAUCACGGUACAUCUUAGUGGCUCAUAGGUAAAUACCGUAC